rnacentral:rRNA from 1 species
GCCCAGAGAAAUUUGGAUUAAUACCUCAUAGUAUUAUUGAAUGGCAUCAUUUAAUAAUUAAAGUUCCAACGGUAAAAGAUGAGCAUGCGUCCCAUUAGCUAGAUGGUAAGGUAACGGCUUACCAUGGCAACGAUGGGUAGGGGUCCUGAGAGGGAGAUCCCCCACACUGGUACUGAGACACGGACCAGACUCCUACGGGAGGCAGCAGUGAGGAAUAUUGGUCAAUGGGCGCAAGCCUGAACCAGCCAUGCCGCGUGCAGGAUGACGGUCCUAUGGAUUGUAAACUGCUUUUGUACAGGAAGAAACAGUUCUACGUGUAGAACCUUGACGGUACUGUAAGAAUAAGGAUCGGCUAACUCCGUGCCAGCAGCCGCGGUAAUACGGAGGAUCCAAGCGUUAUCCGGAAUCAUUGGGUUUAAAGGGUCCGUAGGCGGUUUUGUAAGUCAGUGGUGAAAGCCCAUCGCUCAACGGUGGAACGGCCAUUGAUACUGCAAGACUUGAAUUAUUAGGAAGUAACUAGAAUAUGUAGUGUAGCGGUGAAAUGCUUAGAUAUUACAUGGAAUACCAAUUGCGAAGGCAGGUUACUACUAAUGGAUUGACGCUGAUGGACGAAAGCGUGGGGAGCGAACAGGAUUAGAUACCCUGGUAGUCCACGCCGUAAACGAUGGAUACUAGCUGUUCGGAGCAAUCUGAGU